CCUACGGGAGGCAGCAGUAGGGAAUCUUCGGCAAUGGGGGCAACCCUGACCGAGCAACGCCGCGUGAGUGAAGAAGGUUUUCGGAUCGUAAAGCUCUGUUGUUGGUGAAGAAGGAUAGAGGUAGUAACUGGCCUUUGUUUGACGGUAAUCAACCAGAAAGUCACGGCUAACUACGUGCCAGCAGCCGCGGUAAUACGUAGGUGGCAAGC
rnacentral:rRNA from 1 species